ensembl:lncRNA
AUGAGAUUGUAUAUAAAGUCAACAGAAAGACGAGAGUAUCUUGACAAUGUUUUCACUUGAGUGACAGACUUGUGUUUGUUUUAUGAGGAGAGUAAUGACAGCAGCUGUGGCCACCUUCUGACAAGAAUCUUCAGAGGCUCCAUUGAUAUCAUGCAGCACAACUGCUCAAUGAAUGCUCCAAUGCUCAAAUACACGUGAAUAAUUCUAGGCAAAGGUUGUUUUUAUUUUUUGACUGAACACAGUGUAGUGAUUGUUCUGUCACAGCAGUUGGUUUUUUGUUUUUUUUGUUUUUUGUUUUUUUGCCAGAAGCAACUAUUUCCGUAACAACUGCAGUUUAAAACCCCACGUGAAAUAUGCUGUGCUCCAGUGGUUUUGUGGAUGGCAUCUUCCCAUUCUGAAUCAGCUUUGACAAUCUAUACAUCCUUUGACAACACAAAAUGUUACAAUUCAAACUGCAAAAAUGAUUUUAAAGCAUCAAUACCACAACAUUUUUCACUGUGUAAUAAGAGUAAAUACACAGCAGGACUGCAGUUUCUUACUCUGCAAGCUUCCAUGCUUUAAGCUUGUUUUUAAAAUGCCAGCAUUAUAUCAACAAUUUCAAUCUACUAUACUGUACACCCUAAAUGCAAUUUCACAUCAUCAUCUGUGGGCACCCAAAUUCUGACAACAGUUUUGGGUUUAUUUGUGUUUUUUUAAUUUUAAGAUGUAACCUAAAAAAAAAAAAAACAAAAAAAAAAAACAUUUUGGGGCAUCCAUUAUAAAGGUCAUUCCAGAAUUGAAGGCCAUUUUACAUCCCACGCAUCAAAUUUCAAAUACUCCAUGUACAAAAUACUAAAACAUGCAGUUCUUGUGUAAAUUUACUUGUCCUGAGACCAAAACUAAAAAAAAAAAAAAAAAAAAACUGAGAGAAAAGAAUGUUUGAAAAUAUUUUUAAAAUACAAAAUAAGUCUGGAGUUCCCCUUAAAAUGCCAUUUUCUCUUGUCCAACCCCAAUGAUGACCAAAUUCAAUCUAAUACAUUUAAAAUGAAACCUAAACCUCCUUUAAUGAAAU